GGCUAGUCCGAUGGCAGUGGGUUAUCAGAACUUACUAACAUUAGUGUCACUAAAGUUGGUAUACCACCCCCCCACACACUGCUAAAUUUGACUGGCUUUAA
ensembl:misc_RNA Y_RNA Y RNA